rnacentral:lncRNA from 1 species
UCCGGACGUCGGAUACCAUUAGUAGAUGGUCACUUUGAUUGGUAUAGGUAGAUUAUUCUUAUAUUACCGGCUUAGAUUCGAACCUAUGGAGUCAUACUCAAAAGAAGUUUCUGACUAAUCAUGUGGUUGAUCGAUGAUUAAAAAUCAUUCUAAGAUAUAAUCGUCAAUUCGAUUGAUGAUUAAUCUUAUAUAAAAGUUAUAAUAAAUUAAUUUAUUAAUUAUUGAUGAAUUGUAAGAAGAUUGAUUAGUGAUUAG